UGGGGAAUAUUGGACAAUGGGCGCAAGCCUGAUCCAGCCAUGCCGCGUGUGUGAAGAAGGCCUUUUGGUUGUAAAGCACUUUAAGCGAGGAGGAGGCUACUUGGAUUAAUACUCUAGGAUAGUGGACGUUACUCGCAGAAUAAGCACCGGCUAACUCUGUGCCAGCAGCCGCGGUAAUACAGAGGGUGCGAGCGUUAAUCGGAUUUACUGGGCGUAAAGCGUGCGUAGGCGGCUUCUUAAGUCGGAUGUGAAAUCCCUGAGCUUAACUUAGGAAUUGCAUUCGAUACUGGGAAGCUAGAGUAUGGGAGAGGAUGGUAGAAUUCCAGGUGUAGCGGUGAAAUGCGUAGAGAUCUGGAGGAAUACCGAUGGCGAAGGUAGCCAUCUGGCCUAAUACUGACGCUGAGGUACGAAAGCAUGGGGAGCAAACAGG
rnacentral:rRNA from 1 species